rnacentral:rRNA from 1 species
AAUGAACGCUGGCGGCAGGCCUAAAACAUGCAAGUCGAACGCCUGUAGCAAUACAGAAGUGGCGCACGGGUGCCUAACACGUGGGAUUAUGCCUAUUGGUACGGAACAGCUCCGGGAAACUGGAAUUAAUACCGUAUGGCCCCUUCGGGGUAACGAUUUAUCGCAAAUAGAUUAGCCCGCGGUGGAUUAGCUAGUUGGUAGGGUAAUGGCCUACCAAGGAGACGAUCCAUAGCUGGUCUGAGAGGACGAUCAGCCACACUGGGACUGAGACACGGCCCAGACUCCUACGGGAGGCAGCAGUUAGGAAUAUUGGACGAUGGGCGCAAGCCUGAUCCAGCCAUGCCGCGUAAGUGAUGAAGGCCUUCGGGUUGUAAAACUCUUUAGCCGAUGAAUAUAAUGACUGUAGUCGGAAAAUAAGCCCCGGCUAACUUCGUGCCAGAAGCCGCCGUAA